GGUUACAGACGUGCAUAGCUUGGAAGGAAUUGGGUGGAGGCUCCGCAAGGAGCUGAAGCCCUCUAGAGUUGUGCGUUCCGUCUCGAAACACGGGCCAGGGAGUUUGCUGUCAUGGCGAGCUUAACCUGUUUACGCAGGGAAAGCGAAGGGAAACCAAAUUUGCGCAGCAUUUGCGUGCGAGGCGAAGGAUCUGAAAGGGUCUAGAGUCAUGGCAGUAAGGCUAGAAACCGGACGAUCUAGUCCUGGAUAAGACGAAGGCGGGCGAAAGCCCGCUGGAGGUCUGCAAGGGUCCUGACGUGCAAAUCGGUCCCCUGAUCUGGGAUUAGGGGUCAAAAACCAAUCUAGUCCGGUGAUCGCUAGUUCCCACCGAAGUGGAUCGCAGUCCUGCCUUAGUGGAGACAGCUUGCUCUGUAGAGCACCGAUAGGACGGUAAGGGCCCGAAAGGGCUCGCCAUCCAUUCGAACUCCGAAUGUACAAGCGUCGUAGAGACUAGGAGACGGGUUUAUGUGGGGUAAGCCUCAUAACCGAAAGGGGGACAACCCAGACUAAAGUUAAGGUCCCCAAAUGUCUGCUAAGUGUCAAACAGAAGGGUGUUUUCAGGCAGAGACAGCAGGAAGGUAGGCUCAGAAGCAGCCAUCCUUUAAAGAGUGCGUAACAGCUCACCUGCCGAGCUCGGGAGCCCCGAAAAUGGACGGGGCUCAAGUAGACUACCGAUACUUUAGACCACCGGCAAUGCCGGUGCGUGGUAGGUGGGCGUAGUGAUUGGGUAGAAGCUGGGCUGUGAAGUCCAGUGGACCGAUCUAACUAUUGCAGAUCCUGGCGGCAGUAACAGCGUAGCCGGGUGAGAAUCUCGGCGACCGAAAGGGCAAGGGUUUCCCGGCAAUGCGUCGUCAGCCGGGAGUUAGCCGGUCCUAAGAACAGCCUCAACAGAGCUGUCCGAAUGGGAAACUGGUUAAUAUUCCAGUGCCUUGGAAAAUCGUUAAAACCUUUCCCGUUGCUUCAGGAUAGGGCGAGCAGAACCGUCGUUCUGUUUAAGUAUUCGAGUCUGGGGGAGUGCCGCAAUGGCGAGAACCUGGACGAGGUAUGAACGGCUCUCCGCAAGGAGGGUUCGCCUGAUUCCAGGAGACACUGAAAGCGGGAGGAGGAAGAUAAUUCAAGACCGUACCGAGAUCCGACACUGGUGCCCUGGAUUAGUAGUCUAAGGUCUGUCGGGCAUACCGUAAGGCAAGGGAACUCGGCAAAAUAGCUCCGUACCUAUGGUAUAAGGAGUGCCUGCAGCUUUUGCGAGGAGCAGGAGCUGCAGGUCGCAGUAACAAGGGGGUCCCGACUGUUUAAUAAAAACACAGGUGGUCGCUAGUCCGAAAGGAUGAGAAUGGCCUCUGUAUCCUGGCCAGUGGCGGUACCUAAAACCCGGGUUCAACUGGGCUAAGGGCCGCUAAACGCCGGGAGUAACUCUGACUCUCUUAAGGUAGCCAAAUGCCUUGUCGGGUAAGUUCCGACGUGCAUGAAUGGAACAACGAGGGCCCCUCUGUCCCUGCCUACAGCCCGGUGAAGCCACAUAAUGUGGACGAACAGUCCACAAACCUCUGUCGGGGAGAGAAGACCCUGUGGAGCUUUACUGCAGCCUGUUGUUGCGUUAUGGUUGCGUAUGCAGAGUGUAGCUGGGAGUCAGCGAAGUUAAUCCUCCGGGGUUAAUGGAGACGCCGUUGUAACACCAGCCAUUCGUUACCGUUUCGCUAACCCGUUCUAACGGGGACAACGGCAGGUGGGCAGUUCGGCUGGGGCGGCACCCCCUUGAAAAUGUAUCGAGGGGGCCCAAAGAUUGGCUCAGGCGGGACAGAAAUCCGCCGGUGAGGGCAAAGCCAUAAGCCAGUCUGACUGGAUUCCCAAUGAUACGGAAUUCAGAGGCGAAAGCCGGGCUUAGCGAUCCAUCAUGACCUCACUAUUGGGGGCUGAUGGUGACAAAAAAGUUACCCUAGGGAUAACAGGCUCGUCGCGGGCGAGAGCUCCUAUCGACCCCGCGGUUUGGUACCUCGAUGUCGGCUCUUCCCAUCCUGGUUCUGCAGCAGGAGCCAAGGGUGGGGCUGCUCGCCCAUUA
rnacentral:rRNA from 1 species